rnacentral:rRNA from 1 species
GUGGGGAAUUUUGGACAAUGGGCGCAAGCCUGAUCCAGCAAUGCCGCGUGCAGGAAGAAGGCCUUCGGGUUGUAAACUGCUUUUGUACGGAGCGAAAAGGCUCUCUCUAAUACAGGGGGCUCAUGACGGUACCGUAAGAAUAAGCACCGGCUAACUUCGUGCCAGCAGCCGCGGUAAUACGAAGGGUGCAAGCGUUACUCGGAAUUACUGGGCGUAAAGCGUGCGUAGGCGGUUUGUUAAGUCCGUUGUGAAAGCCCUGGGCUCAACCUGGGAAGUGCAGUGGAUACUGGCAGGCUAGAGUGCGGUAGAGGAGGGUGGAAUUCCCGGUGUAGCGGUGAAAUGCGUAGAGAUCGGGAGGAACAUCGAUGGCGAAGGCAGCCCUCUGGACCAGCACUGACGCUGAGGCACGAAAGCGUGGGGAGCAAACAGGAUUAGAAACCCCAGUAGUCC